UGGGAGAUGCCCGCAUGAGAUUAGGUAGUUGGUGGGGUAACGGCCUACCAAGCCUGCGAUCUGUAGCUGGUCUGAGAGGACGAUCAGCCACACUGGGACUGAGACACGGCCCAGACUCCUACGGGAGGCAGCAGUGGGGAAUCUUGCGCAAUGGGCGAAAGCCUGACGCAGCCAUGCCGCGUGAAUGAUGAAGGUCUUAGGAUUGUAAAGUUCUUUCGCUCGUGACGAUGAUGACGGUAACGAGAGAAGAAGCCCCGGCUAACUUCGUGCCAGCAGCCGCGGUAAUACGAAGGGGGCUAGCGUUGUUCGGAAUUACUGGGCGUAAAGCGCGCGUAGGCGGCUUUGCAAGCCAGAGGUGAAAUGCCUGAGCUCAACUUAGGAAUUGCCUUUGGGACUGCGAGGCUUCGAGGACUGGAGAGGUGAGUGGAAUUCCCAGUGUAGAGGUGGAAUUCGUAGAUAUUGGGAAGAACACCGGUGGCGAAGGCGGCUCACUGGCCAGUUUCUGACGCUGUAGCGCGAAAGCGUGGGGAUCAAACAGGAUUAGAUACCCUGGUAGUCCACGCUGUAAACGAUGAGUGCUAGGCGUCGGCACGCUUGCGUGUCGGUGCCGCAGCUAACGCGUGAAGCACUCCGCCUGGGGAGUACGGUCGCAAGAUUAAAACUCAAGGGAAUUGACGGGGGCCCGCACAAGCGGUGGAGCAUGUGGUUUAAUUCGACGCAACGCGCAGAACCUUACCAGCCCUUGACAUGCCGUGCUA
rnacentral:rRNA from 1 species